rnacentral:lncRNA from 1 species
UACAAAACCCAACUCAAGUCACAUUCAAGGUUUCAAUUAUUAGAAGUAUGGCCACUACUCUAAUGUUUGUCCUGAAAAACAAAAGAAUCAAGAAAAUGAUGCAAAGCAUGAAGAAGAAGAGAUAUUGUUGAUGGUCACAACAAGAGAUGAAGAAAGAUUCUAGGACCAAUGAUACUUGGAAUCUGGAUGCUCAUCACACAUGAUUGGUAGGAAAUAUUACUUUGUCAACAUGAAACCAUC